rnacentral:lncRNA from 1 species
UUAUGCAAGUACAGCCCUUCUCAGUUCCCUGGAAAGACCUGAAUGCAGCCAGGGCCUCAGGUGUGAGAUCACAGAUCCAGUUCUGGAGGACAGAAGUUGAAGAUCAGAACGCCAGCAUGGAUGGAGUCUGGGAGCUAUGAAAUAUCUGAGCUGAGCAAGUGAUGCACAAGAGGACAGAAUCAGUAUGACCUUUAUACAGUGACCUGGCUCAAAUAAUUCCAGGCUGUCAUUAACCAGGUGAGCUCCUCUAGAGGGGGUGAACUGUGAACAAGGCUGCUGAAUGUCACACCAGAUGGCCAGCAUGUCUGUGAAGGGCAGAAACUGGGUCAGCCAAACAGCUGGCAGAGGCCAGCUAGACAGAGGCUCCCUUUUCCUACAGUUGGAAUGAGGGAUGGGGAGAUUUGAUGGUGUCCUGUACAAGUUGGAUGUUAAUUUGACGUGGUGCUGCUGGAGAAGCUUGCCUGAGUCAGGCACAUUCUCAGCACGUGGUAUGUGCUGCCCCUUCAAAGCUGCAGGAGUCUCAGAAGAGGCCCUGCCUGGCUGCUGGGGCUGCCCUGGAGACUCACCCUGCCUCCUCCUCCUCUUCCCUCCACAGUUAUGCUGGCUUCUAUCCACAGCU